AAAGAAUUAGUUAAAUUAAAUAACAUAAAUAUGUCAAAUUUAAAUUAUUAUUUUAAAUAUAAUAUUCUUUU
rnacentral:tRNA from 1 species